rnacentral:rRNA from 2 species
UACGGAGGGUGCAAGCGUUAUCCGGAUUUAUUGGGUUUAAAGGGUCCGUAGGCGGACUCGUAAGUCAGUGGUGAAAUCUCAUAGCUUAACUAUGAAACUGCCAUUGAUACUGCGGGUCUUGAGUAAGGUAGAGGUAGCUGGAAUAAGUAGUGUAGCGGUGAAAUGCAUAGAUAUUACUUAGAACACCAAUUGCGAAGGCAGGUUACCAUGUCUUAACUGACGCUGAUGGACGAAAGCGUGGGGAGCGAACAGG